rnacentral:lncRNA from 1 species
UAACCUCCUCUGUAGCUAAAGGACAAAUGUAACAUGGCAUGUGUUUGUUUAAUUUCGUAACAGCACACACUAAUUGUUCUUUUAAACAAUCUAAUCUUUUAAACGACAAAUGGCCAAGUCUAUUGUGCCAUACAUGCGCAGAGACAUGAUUAACAAAUGCAUUAGAACAAGAAUUAAGGCUUUUGGUAUCGAGGACAUACAGGUCCCAUACUUGUUCACCCUUACCAAUCAUCUUCUUGGUUUUAGCAUCCUGAAUGAUGAAGCCCCCAUGAAAGAAACACAAUGAGACAUGUGAUUCAACAGUUAGUGCACUAACAAAUAUUAGGUUGAAUUUGAACUGUGGUACAAACAAGACAUCUCAUAGAAUUAGUGUUGGACUCAAUCUGAUAUCACCACACAUUUUAACUGGCAAUUGCGUGUGAUUCGGUCCAUUAAUAAUCCUCAUUUUUGUAAAAGCAGCAGCAAUAGAGCACACGUGUUUUGUGGCACCUGAAUCCACUAUCCAUAUUUCCUUUGAUGUAUAAAUGGGAUUAACAGAAUAGCAUAUACCUGCAUUGUAUGGUCCAUUGUUAUCUUGGUGAUCAGCAGCUCCGGUAUUUGAACUUGUAGCCAAAUGAGUAGAUAACAUGGACAUCAGCUGUUGAUAUUUGGAUAGAAUUCACAUUCUGAACAAAGUCACCAACACAUGAUUGUUGUGAUUUUUGCGGCCUAUCUUCGAUCUAUGGAGUGAAAGAAGUGGAAAAUUGAUUAACAGCAUUAGCACCAACAGAGUUUUGAAAAAUUUCUCUUGAUUUUAGUUUGUAACCCAGUGGAUAUCCAUGAAUUCUGUAGCACUUAUCAAUAGAAUGUCCAUGAAUGUUACAAUGAGUGCAGUAAGCCCUUUCUUUCUUCCUGAAAUUUCCAGAUCUCGGUCUGUUAUUAUGCACUUCAGAUCCAGAACCAGUCAUUACCUCCGUAGACUAAGAUUUAACCACAAAUGCAGCUGCUCCAGUUGAAUCAAUUCCUUGAGAUAUUUGUGUACUGAACCUUCUCUGGUUUUCCUCUUGACAGACCAAGGCAAAAACCUUAUUUAUUUGAGACAAAGGGUCCAUAAGCAACAGUUGACCUCUGAUCUGUGAAAAGGACUCGUAAAGACCCAUGAGGAAGGAUAUUGUUAGACAACAACCUUCCAUUCCUGUUCCCAAU